rnacentral:rRNA from 1 species
GCGAACGCUGGCGGCAGGCCUAACACAUGCAAGUCGAACGCCCAGCAAUGGGAGUGGCAGACGGGAUAGUAACACGUGGGAACGCGCCCUUCGGUUCGGAAUAACUCAGGGAAACUUGAGCUAAUACCGGAUACGCCCUUACGGGGAAAGAUUUAUUGCCGAAGGAACGGCCCGCGUCGGAUUAGCUAGUUGGUGAGGUAAUGGCUCACCAAGGCGACGAUCCGUAGCUGGUCUGAGAGGAUGACCAGCAUCACUGGGACUGAGACACGGCCCAGACUCCUACGGGAGGCAGCAGUGGGGAAUAUUGGACAAUGGGCGCAAGCCUGAUCCAGCCAUGCCGCGUGGAUGAUGAAGGCCCUAGGGUUGUAAAGUCCUUUUAACGGGGAAGAUAAUGACGGUACCCGUAGAAUAAGCCCCGGCUAACUUCGU